GUGCGGCGAUUCUUUAGUUCCUGUUUUGUUUUUUUUCCUUUUCAAGCGCUAUCCACAUCUGACCACAGGCUGGAGAUGUAAGCAGGGAUCUCGGCAGGGAAACAAACCCGAGAGGACACGUGGGAUUUCAGCAAUACUGACUGUGAAGUAGGCCUGCUCGAGAGGCCGCCCCAAAGGAGAAGGAAAAUGACAAAAAAAAAAAAAAAAUCCCACAAAAUCGAGAAUGUAUCCCCAGAAUCAGUACAGCCAGUUGUUUGAACAUUCUUAAAGUAUCUCGUGGUAUAAUUUCUGUUGACUUCAAGCUUUAAUUUGGAUCCACACCUACAGCUGACCCAAAUGUCUCCUCUGUAGUCAUCUUAUUUGGAUCAGGGAGAAGCAUGAACAAAAAUAUGUUCCAGAACCAUGUGCAAGCUCUGUAAGUCACUGCCCGUGUCUGGAUGAAGGGCUUUCGGAAUGUAGAUGGUCAGGAGGUGCAUGCUGCUAUGUGAAUCUUAAAACUCCCUGCUGGAGGGAGGAGGCUGCUACAUUCCUCUCGUUCUGUCUCACACACUCUUCCUCCGAGUUUGUGUGUCUAGAACUUGGAUGUUUCCAUAAGGAAAACAGAACUGUGGUAUUGUUUCGAGAAGAAUUAAGUAAAGUUUAAUCUUUCUGAACUCCUGACUUACUCCAGUACACAAUGCCAAUCGCUGCACCAUUUGAUGUGCAUGUUUCAGCCCCUUUCAUUCUAAUUAUCCUAUUUCAAGUUUAUGGUAAGUCACAGAUGUUCUCCCAGUAGCAGGACCUUGUGCUAACCACAAACUGCACCUUCUCAGUACUCACAACCCCGAUCUGCAAGGUAUCGUUAAGGAAUGAGUAUCUUCAGUGUGGCAAAGGAGUAGUGUAGUUCCCUCCACAGGCCCUGUCGUAAUAAAAGCCUCAGUGCAGCUUCUUCCUGCAGUUCACAUCUUGAUGCUAGGAUGCUCCUGGUACUAACUAAACAUUGGCAGUUCACAUCCCAGACACCAGGGGUCAGGUACUAACUAAAGAGAUGGAAUGCAGUGUGCUUUUUGAGACACUAGGGGGAGCCUGGUAUUAACUAAACAGCUUGCCAUUCAACAGUCUCAGGAGGGUUCUUGUACUAAACAGAUGGGGGUUCACUCUAGGUCAUAAAUACAAUUACCUACUAAGUAGCAAGAAUGCCUCAGCAAUCCCCAAGCCUUCCAGUGCCUCUGGGGGCUUCCUGAUGGAAAACUACACAAACUGAGUUUUUUAAAUGUUAACUCCACUUAGGCUUCUGUUUUCCUCAUAUCCUAUUUUUAAUUACUUCCAAUAAAUCAUUUGCUCAGCCUUCUAGCACUGUCUUCCUUUGUAUUUGUCAGAUUUAUGAUGCAUUGUUUCAGUCUACCCUUAAAGAAGUCAAGCCAAAAAUAGAGGUGAGGGCUACUUUGCUUCUUAAUGUAGGCCUACUGUGCACACCACACACUCUCUCUGAGGGACUGUAGCUAUUAGAUACUGUCCUCACACCCUCGAGCUACCAGCCAGGGCUCUAAGUUGCUCUCGUGAUCUUAGUUAGAAAUACAGGCUACAGUGUUUGGUCAGAAUUUAUUCGAAUGUCUUUAUUUUUAAUACCAACAUCAGCAUAAAUCUAUUUUUGCUAGUAGAUCAAAGCUAUUUUCACACGCUCUGUUUUCUAUCUUGUAUCGAUCCUGCGAAUCAGUGAUUAUCUUUGUUGGAAAACCUUAUCAAAUGUGUCUGCAAAUCAAGAUGGUCUAAAGUGCAAGCCAGUUUUUUGUUUGCUUGUUUUUGAAACUGGGUUUAGGGGAUACAGUUGUCAGAAGUGACUCAUUCGCUUCAUUUGUGAUGAUUUUUUUUUAAUCUUCCUCUGUUAGCCCACAGGACAUGUUUUGGGGAAAAUGAUACUUGUAAAUCUUCUAUUUAACCAUUUGUAAAAUCUAAAUCAUACCCCACUCCCCACUCCCAUUUCGAUUCUCCAGCGGCUCCUUUUAGUUUGUUGUCUUGCCCUACUGUGUAGCUCACUGACUGAGAAUAAAGAAUACAGCAAAGGC
rnacentral:lncRNA from 1 species